GCGUGGACCAUGCACCCUCUGGGCAUCCCCACCGAGGGUUCUUUCUCUCCUUGGCUCGCCAGCUUCGCUCUGAGCUCAGCUUGCUACUGCCCCUCUUAGACAAGAGAAGUGGGAGGGAGUGGAAACCGGAACCCGUGGAGUAUGACCCGCCCAUGCGUGGACCCGGCAGGUUGCUACAACUUGCACUUGGAGGGGAGAGGUCCCAUGGCCCCCGAAUUAGAAAUGCCAGGCUUAUCUCUUUUUGUAACCCUUCAUUUUAAAAUGUAAUUAAUAAGCACU